CUUGCGCUCUGCUGACGACCGGCGCACGGGUGAGUAACGCGUAUGCAACCUACCUUUUACUGGGGAAUAGCCCAGAGAAAUUUGGAUUAAUACCCCAUAUUAUCUUUUAUUCGCAUGAAUUAGAGAUGAAAGUUUCGACGGUAAAAGAUGGGCAUGCGUCCUAUUAGUUUGUUGGUAAGGUAAUGGCUUACCAAGACUUCGAUAGGUAGGGGCCCUGAGAGGGGACCCCCCACACUGGUACUGAGACACGGACCAGACUCCUACGGGAGGCAGCAGUAAGGAAUCUUGCACAAUGGAGGAAACUCUGAUGCAGCGAUGCCGCGUGAGUGAAGAAGGCCCUUGGGUUGUAAAGCUCUUUCGUCGGGGAAGACAAUGACUGUACCCGAAUAAGAAGGUCCGGCUAACUUCGUGCCAGCUGCCGCGGUAAUACGAAGGGACCUAGCGUAGUUCGGACUUACUGGGCUUCAAGAGUCCGUCAGUGGUUAACACAGUUGGUGGUUGAAAUCCUGAGCUUACCUCCUGGGACUUGCCAUG
rnacentral:rRNA from 1 species